AUUGAACGCUGGCGGGAUGCUUUACACAUGCAAGUCGAACGGCAGCACGGGGGCAACCCUGGUGGCGAGUGGCGAACGGGUGAGUAAUACAUCGGAACGUGCCCAGUCGUGGGGGAUAACGUAGCGAAAGCUACGCUAAUACCGCAUACGAACUCAGGUUGAAAGCGGGGGAUCGCAAGACCUCGCGCGAUUGGAGCGGCCGAUGGCAGAUUAGGUAGUUGGUGGGGUAAAGGCCUACCAAGCCGACGAUCUGUAGCUGGUCUGAGAGGACGACCAGCCACACUGGGACGGAGACACGGCCCAGACUCCUACGGGAGGCAGCAGUGGGGAAUUUUGGACAAUGGGCGCAAGCCUGAUCCAGCCAUUCCGCGUGCAGGAUGAAGGCCCUCGGGUUGUAAACUGCUUUUGUACGGAACGAAACGGCCUGCUCUAAUACAGCGGGCUAAUGACGGUACCGUAAGAAUAAGCACCGGCUAACUACGUGCCAGCCGCCGCCGUAACAC
rnacentral:rRNA from 1 species